GCUCCGAGAUGCCGAAGGGCCAGCAGCGGCCCCGAAGCUCCGGGCUGGCCGCGCUGUCGCUCUGCCGCGCCCCGGUCUCGAAGUGAAGGUGCCUCUUCCUGGCUAGCCCACCUACAUGCUGUCAUCACUGGGCUUCUGCAACUCUCAGUCUUUGUGGCUGCACCCUUCCCUUCUGAAUCCUGAGGACCCAUGAGUGUCAGGCCCAUCAUGAAAUUGGUCGUCUUACUGGGUCUUUCCCCUGCAGCUUUCCCGAGGCUGUACAGCAUUUAUUGGUGCUCAUCUGUUUGAGUAGAGCUGGCAUAGAGGACUGCCACCGGCUGGGAGGGGCCAUGGUACCAGAGGUCUUGGGUGCCUGAAGAUACUCCCCCUAGCCCUGAUGCCUUGGAAGAGAAGCCCUUCAAGACAAGCUGAUGCCAGGCCCUGGCCAGAGUGCCCCCACUGUUGGUCAGUGGGCAUUGUGAGGAUCAAGGCUACUGGACACUGAGUAGCAACUCAGAAUCCAUCUCGGGGAGGUUCUGAGGGUCAGCCUGGGCAUGGAGAGAGGCAGGUGGCACUUCUUGGUGGGUGUGGUAGCAGAGAAAUCCUAGAAGUUGCAACCGCACCCCUCCUCGUCUGGAGUGACAGGGGAGUGGCCUGAGCCCUGCUCCCCAGCUGUCCAAGGCAAACUGACUGGAGUCCAUCUGGCUGUCCCCACCAGAUCAGGCUCCCUUCCCAUCCUGGAACACCAAAGCUGCUAAGUCUGCAGAAAGCACAGCAGAGGGAUGCCUAGAUCAGGGGUCUACCUAGGCACACCUGGAGCUAAGCUGCAUGGGGGGUGGGGGGUGAGGGUGGGGAGAUGCCCAAGGGCAGCCAAGGGUACCUUCAAUGGCCUUUCUUCCUAGGUUCUAUGUAAUGGUGGCUACACACUUCCCUGAUGACUGUCAUUUAAGGCAUACAUAAUUCUCCUUCCA
rnacentral:lncRNA from 1 species